GGCAUCGAUCCGGCAGGCUCUGACCAGGGUGGCGGGAGGCUCAAGGCCUGGGUUUCUUUUUCAAAACCCUUCAUUCUCUGAGUUCUUCCUGUCCUGUGCACGCCUGGGGGCCGAGAAAUGGGGAAUCGUUUAUCCAUCCAUGCCCCUUAGGCCCGGCCCUGGGUCAAAAAUGAGCUCGGAGGACCGGGGCUUUAGCUCAGUGGUGCCACCGCCUGCCUCGCAAGCGCAAGGUCCUGAAUUCGAUCCCCGACCCAGACGCAGCUGGAGCAUGCGCGCAUUGGGGAGCUGGAGCAGAGCCUGCUACUGGAGAAGGCGCAGGCGGAGCGGCUGCUCCGAGAAUUGGCGGACAACAGGCUGACCACGGUGGCCGAGAAGUCGCAUGUUGCAGCUGGAGGAGGAG
rnacentral:lncRNA from 1 species